rnacentral:lncRNA from 1 species
AGGAACACGAUAGAUUUGAUCUUUAGGGACUUGAACAACGUAUGUGCCAGACUCAAAAAUGGGUGGAGAUUGAGAAAUAACAGGGUCAUGAAGGAUAAGGGUAGGUUGUGGUGGUGGUGGCGGCGGUGAUGUAGCCCGCUCCGCCAUGGAACAAUGGGGAGCGGUGAAAAGAAGAGGAAGAAGGAGAAGGAGAGAAAUUGAAGGAUCGCGUGUAAGUGGAAGUGGCAUGUGUGAAUGGAAGGUAGAGAGAGUCUGAGUUUGAUUGGUCAAUUUUAAUUUGUUUUGAUUUGAUUUCAGAGGGACCAUAAGUUAACUAUUAUUAGAGAUUGUUUUACUGGGUCAAUAUUUUAAUAGAAAGGGAAGCAUAAUAAUGAAUGGAACAUAAAUGCUUGAUAAUUAAUUUGGAAGUAAAAUACCAAAAUUAAGGUGUAGUUUUUAAACAUGGUUCUAAUAUUAUAUAUGAUCACAGCUCAUUAAAGGAAAACUAGUAACAUAAUUUAUGUGAUUACUUGCAGUGAAUGGCUGGAGCUAAGGCCGAAAUUGCCCACAACACAAUGCAUAUCCAUUGGCCCAUAUCCAAUGUGUUAUUGUAAAAAAUUGUGUUUAUAUUAUGAUCUUUGAUGAAUAUUUACUCAAAUGUGAAUUCUGAGAUUAUUGAGUACAAGAAUGUUCUGUUAUAUACAAGUAUGUUUGCAACGGUCCUAUUGCUCCUUGUUGUUGUUUGUUGCACUCCAACGUUUAAAUCUAGCUUAGGGAUAGGUUGAAGCAGCCUUUUUCCCUUUAGGGGAGAGGUGUUGCUCCCUUUCCCUAAUAGGCCUGUGAUGAUCUAGAGUUCUGAGGCCAUAUCCAACAGUCAAAGACUGUUGGUCCUUACUGCCAGUCUUUGACUGUUGAACAUUGUUGCUGCCUGGUUUUGGUGCUUCUUCAACAGAUAUUGAGACUUCUUCAACACUCCCCCUCAAGGUGGGUUCGAAUAAGUUGAUAGAACCCAUCUUGCUGAGAAGCUUUCGAUGACUUGCUUUGUCUAGGGCUUUGGUGAAGAUAUCUGCCAGUUGUUCAUGGCUUCGGAUGAACGGAGUUGUGAUUUCUCCUGAUUGGACUUUCUCUCUUAUGAAGUGACAAUCAAUUUCAAUAUGUUUAGUCCUUUCAUGAAAGACUGGGUUCGAUGCGAUGUGUCUGGCUGCUUGGUUAUCACAGUACAUCUCCAUCGGGCCUUUAUGCUCUACUUCCAUAUCAACCAGAACUUGCUUUAUCCAUAUGAGUUCACUAGCUGUCGAUGCCAUGGCACGAUACUCGGCUUCGGCACUGGACCUUGCGGUUACUGAUUGUUUUUUGCUCUUCCAUGUCACUAGGUUUCCUCCUACAAAUGUGCAGAAUCCUGAAGUCGAUUUUCUGUCACAACUACCUGCCCAAUCUGCAUCAGAGAAACCAGUAAUAGUGAUAGCAUUAUUAUUAUUUCUCAUCCAGAUACCAUGUCCUGGAGUACCUUUGAGGUAUCUUAGGAUCCUAUCAACUGCAUCUAAAUGAGGAGUACGUGGAGCAUGCAUAAACUGGCUAAUCAUACUCACAGCAUAACUAAUGUCAGGUCUGGUGACGGUUAAGUAAAUCAAUUUCCCCACCAGGCGCUGGUAAUGACCUAUGUUAUCUAGAGGGUCACCAUCCUCUAAGUUAAGUCUAGUCUUGGUCUCCAUAGGGGUAUCUAUAGGCUUAGCUCCUAUUUUCCCUGUUUCAUUUAAAAGAUCUAGAACAUACUUUCUCUGAGACAGAAAUAGACCUUUAUGAGAUUUUGCCAUUUCUAUUCCGAGAAAGUAGGUUAAUUGACCAAGAUCCUUAAUGUCAAAUUCCCUUUUUAAUUUUUGCUUUACUUUCUCAAUUUCCUCAUUAUUGUUCCCUGUUACAAUAAUGUCAUCCACAUAAAUCAAGAUAAUGAUCGUGUAUGUGAGAGUGUGUUUAACGAACAUGGAUGAAUCAGAGGUACAUUUGCUGAAAUCAAUUUUUAAUAGAAAAUGACUUAGCUUGGCAUACCAUGCUCUAGGGGAUUGUUUCAACCCGUAGAUUGCCUUUUGUAACUUACAUACCAGGGAGGAGUCAGAGGCAAAAUUAUGACCUGGAGGUAGAGACAUGUACACCUCUUCUUCCAGCGAUCCUUGCAGAAAUGCGUUCUUAACGUCCAUCUGAAAUAAUCCCCAACCUGAGUUAGUAGCAACAGAUAGUAAAAUACGAACAGUGCUCAUUUUUGCUACCGGAGCAAAGGUUUCCUGGUAAUCCACACCAUAGGUCUGAGUGAAGCCUUUCGCUACUAGCCUAGCUUUAUACCUCUCAAUUGAACCAUCAUGCUUGUAUUUGAUUUUAUACACCCAUUUACAGCCCACCUGUUUUUUGUUUGGUGGUAGGGGGACAAGCUUCCAAGUUUCAUUUUUCUCCAAGGCCUGGAGUUCUUCUUUCAUGGCUUUACACCAAUUAGGGUCGGUGUUAGCCUCAUAGAAAGAACUUGGCUCAGUGUGAGAAGAAAGAGCGUUGAGAUAUGUCUUAUAAGAUUUCGAGACUGAAUUAUAAUUAAUAAAGCGAUGGAUAGGAUACAAUACCGAGUGGGACACAUAGUCCCUUAGUUUAACGGAAGGUCUAGAUGGUCGAGAUGAUCUCCGCAGGGCAAUUGCUUCUUCUACUUGUGAUUCAUUUUCUCCCCCUGAAGCAGUUGGCGCGGGAACAGGACGCUCGUCCACAUCGGCUGAGGGAGAGAGAUCUGAUCUGUCAAGUAAGAAAGAGUUAUCGGGAAAUAAGGGGGAUGGGGGGGACGUAGUAGUGGAGAAGUAGGCUGUACUUUCAUCGAAAGACACAUCUCUAGAAAUAUAGGACUUGUGUGUGGAGGGGUCAUAACACUUGUACCCCUUUUUUCCAGAUGAGUACCCUAGGAAAACAGUUUUAACGGAACUGGAGUCAAGUUUAUGGGAUCGUCUAAUAUGAACAAAAGUAAUGCAACCAAAAACUCGAAGGUGGCCCAAAUCUAUUUUUCGACCCUUAAGGAUUUCCAAAGGACUGUGGUUUUUAAGAGUGGGAGUAGGUAAUCUGUUAAUAAGGUAGACAGCGGUGAGGAGGGCAUCAGACCAAAAAAUAUGAGGAACAUUGUGUUGAAAAAGAAGUGAUCUAGUGACUUCAAGAAGAUGGCGGUUUUUUCGUUCAGAAACGCCAUUCUGUUCAGGAGUAUAAAUACAGGUGGUUUGGUGUAAAAUGCCUUGUGCAGAGAAGAAGUCAGAAAAGUUUUUAUUAAUAUAUUCAGUGCCAUUAUCGGAUCGAAAAAUUUUAAUUUUGGCAUCAUAUUGAGUUUGAACGAAAUGAAAGAAAUUCUGAAAACAGGAAAAAAACUUCAUUUUUUCCUUUUAGUAAGUAUACCCAAGUGAGACGGGAGAAAUCAUCAAUAAAGGUGACAAAAUAAUGAAAAUGGUUGUAAGAAGUACAGGGGGCAGGUCCCCAAACAUCAGAAUAAAUUAAAUCAAACAUUUUUAUGGAAGUAGUGGAGGACACAGGAAACGGUAACCUGGUAUGUUUAGAAAAUUUGCAAAUAUCACAACAAACAGAAUUUAAAUGACAAGAAAAAAGUUUGUUUAGGAUGUGAUCGGAGGGGUGCCCAAGUCGCCGAUGCAUCAACAUCCCUUUAUUGACCGAACUUGUUGACGCAAGACAACGGGUAGUGGAGUCUCUAAGGUAGUAAAGGCCAUUUUUAAAAUAUCCCUCACCAAUCAUCUUCCCGGUGAUGCGAUCCUGAAACAGUACUGAAGUUGGUGAGAAAAUAGCAUUACAAUUUAAAUGACUAGUAAUUUUGCCAACAGAUAAUAAGUUUGAUUGAAAAUUAGGUAAAAAUAAUAUAUCAUGAAUAUUUUGGCGGAAGAUGGUGGAGGUGCCACAGCCAGAGAUUUUGGCUUGGGCACCAUUUGCGGUGGUCACAUGUUGAGAUUCAAGGGGAACAAAAUUG